AUUGAACGCUGGCGGCAUGCCUUACACAUGCAAGUCGAACGGCAGCACGGGAGCAAUCCUGGUGGCGAGUGGCGAACGGGUGAGUAAUAUAUCGGAACGUGCCCGGUCGUGGGGAUAACGUAGCGAAAGCUACGCUAAUACCGCAUACGAUCUAUGGAUGAAAGCGGGGGAUCGCAAGACCUCGCGCGAUUGGAGCGGCCGAUAUCAGAUUAGGUAGUUGGUGAGGUAAAGGCUCACCAAGCCGACGAUCUGUAGCUGGUCUGAGAGGACGACCAGCCACACUGGGACUGGGACACGGCCCAGACUCCUACGGGAGGCAGCAGUGGGGAAUUUUUGGACAAAUGGGCGCAAGCCUGAUCCAGCAAUGCCGCGUGCAGGAUGACGGUCCUAUGGAUUGUAAACUGCUUUUAUACAGGAAGAAACCCUACCCACGUGUGGG
rnacentral:rRNA from 1 species